UCUCCUGGAGGGAAGGGGCAGGUAGAAGGGCAGGGGGCUGGAGUACUCUGGCCAGGCUUUCUUGAAAGAGGACAGGGACUCGGUUUCAGGGCCUCACACCAUGAUCCAGUUGUUUCUGCAUUUACUUAAUUUUUUUUUUUUUACUUGCACAGUUGACACACAAUAUUGCAUUAGUUUCAGGUGUACAAUGUAGUGAUUGAACCCCUCAAUACAUUAUACUGCGCUCCCCGUGAGUCUAGCUAUCAUCUGUCACCAUCAUACAGAGCUAUUACAAUACCACUGGCUCGAUUCCUUAGGCUAUACCUUUUAUUCCCGUGACUUAUUCAUUCCGUAGCUGGAAGCCCAAUUUCCUUUUUCUAAAGGUUUUCUUUUGUCCUAGAGCUGUAUCAUGUAUUUUAAAGGUGAAUACAAAUGCUCAGUUAGUUAACAUAACUUUUUUUAGGGGUAGAGUUACUUUUUCCUUUCAUGUGGUCAGAUGGGGAGGUUUUACAAACUUGGUUUCUACACUAGUUUCAGGGGAGAGAGGUAGCAUGCAAAGUGGGUCUGAAAUCUUAGGACGGUAAGAAAAAUCAAGAACUUGUACCUUACCUUAAAAAGAUUUAAACAAGUGAAAAGAGAACCAACUUUUAGCCACUCAAAGCAUUUAGUUCUGCUUUCGUGUAUUGCCAAAUACUAAAAGAAACAUUAAUCUCCUAUCUUUGGGUGAAAGUGGGCAUCCUUUUUUUUUUAAUGUUUUUUUAUUUUGACACACAGAGGGUGUGGGGGAAGGGCAAAGAGAGAGGGGGAGAGAGAGGGAGAGGGAGAGAGAGAGAGAGAGAGAGAGAGAGAGAGAGAGAACCCCAAGCAGGCUCUACACUGUCAAUGCAGAGCCUGACAAGGGGCUCCAUCUCACAACUGUGAGAUCAUGACCUGCGCCAAAAUCAAGAGUUGGCUGCUUAACCGACUGAACCACCCAGUUGCCCCGAGGGCAUCCUCUUCUUAAAUUCAGAGCUGCUGUUCAGAAACAUAGUCUUCCUGGUACAUGAGGACUGGAGUCUGUAAGUUCACACAGAGCUGUGAGGAUGCCUGGGGUCCAAAACACCCAAGGGGAACCCAGAGGCCUGGCCAAUGCCAUUCUAGCAUCUGGUGUCCAUUGUUCAACCAAGGGAGUUUGGUUGAACAAAAGAAUCCUCUCACCAGUCAGUGUUAGGAAAAAUUAAGUAGCAUUCUUUUUAAAAUUUUUUUAAUGUUUAUUUUUUUGAGAGAGAGCACAAGCAGGGGAGGGGCAGAGAAAGAGGGAGACACAGAAUCCGAAGCAGACUCCAGGCUCUGAGCUGUCAGCACAGAACCCGAUGUGGGGCUCGAACCCACGAACCUCAAGAUCACGGCCUGAGCCGAAAUCGGACACUCAACCGACGGAGCCACCCAGAUCCGGUUUCCUCCAACAGAAGCAACCACCAUUACUUGUUCCUCUCGCACCCUUCCAGAGAGAAUACGAGGAUAUCCAAGCAUGUAAGCGCAUACCCAUGCACACACACAGCAAUAUAGCCUGUUUCCACCUUAAUCUUUUCACUCAAUUUGUCUUCAAGGUUGUUACUAAACUUAUUCCUGCGUACUUCAUUAGACAAUUCUAUGUGCCAAUUCCUAUUUCUAUUUUUCCUAUGAUAAUCUAUUUACUAUUUGUUUUCUGGUGUCAUAAUUGCAAAUUUCUAUUUUUCUAGAAACUUAUGCAUCCCAUCUGUAUUACUUUCAUUUAUUGGUAGAGUCAAGGAAGACAGUAACUUAUGAUCCUUUCAAUUUCAUCUCUCUGUGGUUAGUUGCUUAUGCUCAUUUCUUUUCUUUCUUUCUUUUUUUUAUUAACAUUUAUUUAAUUUUGAGAGACAGAGACAGAGCACGAGUGGAGGAGGGGCAGAGAGAGAGGGAGACACAGAAUCCGAAGCAGGCUCCAGGCUCUGAGCUGUCGACACAGAGCCUGAUGCGGGGCUCGAACUCACAAGCUGUGAGAUCAUGACCUGAGCCGAAGUCGGAUGCUUAACUGACUGAGCCACCCAGGCACCCUGCUUAUGCUCAUUUCUAACUUUGUGCAUUGAGUAGGUAGGCUGAUGCUUUAUCUAUUUUUGUGGGUUUUUCCCCCUUCCAAUGAAGGAGCUCUUGGAUUUAUGUAUUAGUGCUACAUUUUUCCUCCUCUUUUCAAAAUUAGAAUUUCUGCUUUUAUUUGUAUUAAUUUUCAUUUUGUUCUCUUGGGUUUAUUUUGUUACUCUUUUUUUAAUGUUUUAUUUAUUAUUAUUAUUUUUUAAAUUUAAUGUUUAUUUAUUUUUCAGAGAGAAAGAGACAGUACAAGCAGGGGAAGGGAAGGGAGAGAGGGAGACACAGAAUCCAAAGCAGGCUCCAGGCUCUGAGGUGUCAGCACAGAGCCUGACGCGAGGCUUGAACCCACGAAUUGUGAGAUCAUGACCUGAGUCAAAGUCAGAAGCUCAACCGACUGAGCCACCCAGGCACUCCUAAUAUUUUAUUUAUUUUUGAGAGAGAGAGAGAGAGAGAGAGAGAGAGAGAGAAGGGGAGGGGCAGAAAGAGGGAGACACAGAAUCUGAAGCAGGCUCCAGGCUCUGAGCUGUCAGCACACAGCCUGAUGCAGGGUUUGAACCCACGAACCAUGAGAUCAUGAUCUGAGUUGAAGUUGGACACCUAACUAACUGAGUCACCCAGGUGACCCUAUUUUGUUAUUCUUUUUCAAAUAUCUUGCAUUAGAUGCCUAAUUCAUUUAUUUUCACAUUUUUUGGAUUAGUCAAAGUAUUUAGUGCUUCAAUGUUCUUCUGAGCAAUAGGCUUGAUAUCACAUGUAGGAGUUUCCGUUAUAUAUAAUGAUAACACCAUAUUCCCAUUUAUUAUAUAUUCUAAUAUGUAUUAAGUAAAUAUUUCCAUUAUACUUAAUUAUGAUAUAUUAUUUACUUAUUUUCUAGUUAUUGCUAGUUUUAGGGUUUGAGUUCCCUUUUGAUCCAAGAAUUAUUAAGAGUUAAAGCAUUUCUAGGUCAAGCAUUGGCUGUAUUACUCGUAUUUUGUGAAAUUACCUGAGGUUUUCUUUACGGUCUCAGAUAUGGUGAAUUUUUAUUGUGAAUUUCAUCCUUUUUUUUUUUAAGUUUAUUUAUUUAUUUUGAGAGAGAGAGAGAGACAGAGCAGGGGAGGGGCAGAGAGAGAAUAUCCCAAGCAGGCUCUGUGCUGUCAGCGCACAGCCUGAUGUGGAGUUCAAGGUGCAGUUCAUGCGAGGUCAUGACUUGAGCCGAAAUCAAGAGUCAGAGCCACCCAGGCACCUUGUGAAUUCUGUCCUUUAUCAUUACAAAGUGUCUUGCUUUCUGUCCUGAGAUCAGCCUUUACUGAUGUUAAGACUGAGACCCCCUGCUUUCAUUUGGCUUUUAUUUGCUUGGUUUGCUUUUGAAAUCUCAUGUUUUCAACCUUUCUGUACGACUUGGUUAAUACACAGCCUUCCCUUGGGGUUUCCUUUGUGAUUCAAUCUGAGAGACUAUUGUUUAAUAGAGGCGUUUUAUGGCAUUACUAUGACAUAUACAUGUUCUAAGUAUUCUUAGUCUGUCAUUACAUUUUAUGGUAUGCUUUUUGUGUUCAUGAAUUCUAGUUGUUUACUUUUUGAAAUCUUUUUACUAUAUGGUGUGUAUAUAUGUGUCUUUCUGGUAAGUGAGACAGUUUGUAAUUUUGUUUUAGUGGUAACAUCUUUAUAGAAGAAACUUCAAUAUAAUAUACGUAACCCUCUGUUUCUUAGAAUUUGCUAAGCUUCUUCCUCUCUCUCUCCUCUUUGCUACCUGACUUGGGUUUCUGCAUCUUUCAACUAAGAAUCCAAGUAAAGUCACUUUGUUUCCCAGUAGAUGGUGCUAGAGACACAAUAUAAAGAGCGUGCUUAAACCCUGAUCAGUUUUGGGAGAAUGAAUAGUUGUUUUUUUGGGUCCCUCAGGCCAUAAGGCCAAAUCCUGGAUGGUAGUUACUUACCUGUGUGCUACUGUCUUGUGAAGUUUGGGUGACCAACCACCUCUCACACCGAUUUUUUUUUUUAAUUUUUAAUUUUUUUAAUGUUUAUUUUUGAGAGAGAGAGAAAGAGGGCCAGCAGGGGAGGGGCAGAGAGAGAAGGAGACACAGAAUCUGAAACAGGCUCUAGGCUCUGAGCUGUCAGUACAGAGCCCAACAUGGAGCUUGAACCUAUGAACUGUGAGACCAUGACCUGAGCCAAAGUCGGAGGCCCAACAACUGAGCCAUGCAAGUGCCCCUCACACUGAUUUUUAAAAAGGCAAAAUGUUUCCUUAUGAAAAACUUAGUCCGGGAAAAAGCAGCAGCUGUUUUCAUGGGCUCAAGAAGACUGUAGUCUUACCAACUCAUAUUCUGAGUAUUAAUUUCUGUUAUGCUUUCCUCCCUAACUUUAUAUGGUAUUCACAAUAUUUAGUUCCUUAAAGCCAUACUUGACUCAAAAUCUGACCCUUAUGACAGUCCCAAUGUAAUAUUGCACAAGUCAGUCAAGAUUACUUAUUUCUCUUGACUUCAAGGUAAAAAUAAAGUCAUGGAAUGUUCAUGAAGGAGGGUUCUAGGGUCUAUUUCAGGUCUGUUUACCUGAUACUGAGCAAUCUACAAAUCAAUGUUAGCUUUUCUCUCUGUAAAAUGAAGCUAUUAUUUGCUGCCUAUACAUGACAUGGAAAUACUCAACAAAUGAAAUACUUGAAUGGUUUCAGGACAAUGGCAUAAAUAAACAGGCUAAAUUUGCGGAUGCAUCUAUAACACAAAGGAGAGCCUAGAGAGGGGGUAAGACUUCGAGAAUGGCAGAGAAGCCCUGACUUAAAACUGAGAAACUUCUAAAUGAGAUUUUUACUAAAUGAGAAGAAACAAAGAGAAAAGGUUCCAAUCUCUUUCCAGCCUCACGCCCUGACCUGUGGACCUCAUGUAUCUACUGAUCAGGCACAUGGAAAACUUUGGAAUUUGUCCCCCAGAUUCAUGCCUUCUUUGGGACCUUUCUCACAGCUUCAAUGUCUUCUGUGUCCCUGCUUCCCCCACAUCCUGGCAAAGUUGUUUAAGAAUACUUACUCUCCAAUGCCACUUCCUCUGAAGGAUUGUAGCCUCCACAGCUAGAACUAAUCUCCUUUUCUUUUCUUUUCUUCCCCCUUACCCCCCUGAUCUCCUUUUCUACUUUGUUCCUAUCACAUUUUGAACAUACUUUCUUCAAAACAUUUGUUGUUGUUGUUUUUUUAAAUUUUUUUUUUAAUGUUUGUUUAUUUUUGAGACAGAGAGAGACAGAGCAUGAAUGGGGGAGGGGCAGAGAGAGAGGGAGACACAGAAUCGGAAGCAGGCUCCAGGCUCUGAGCCAUCAGCCCAGAGCCUGACGCAGGGCUCGAACUCACGAACGGUGAGAUCAUGACCUGAGCUGAAGUCGGACGCUCAACCGACUGAGCCACCCAGGCGCCCCAAACAUUUGUUGUUUUAAGACAUAACCAUACGAUUAUAUCAAGCUCCAAGAGGGUAUGAAUUGUGUCCUUUUUAUCUUUGUACCUUCUGAGCAUGAAGCGAGCCUUCACUUGAUUGAAAGAUGGAUGGAUGAAUGAAGUAGAGGCAGAAAAAACAGGGCCAACUGUGAAUGUCAUAGCAUCCUGUGACAAAGUCAGAAAGAUCUAGAAAAGGCCUUAGGAAUUACCUCAUCCAGUCCCCUCGCUUUGCAGAUGAGAAGACUGGGACCCAGACAGCUAAAGGGACUUGCCCAAGGUGACACAUCUCCAUAGUGUCAAAGUCUCCAGGCCUCUCACCCCAGAGUGACUUGGUAACAGCCUUUUCCACCCCCAAGCCCUCAAGUGUUCGUGAGUUCUCAAAGAAUUUGGAAAAUCAAUGUGCUGUUAUUCUAAUUUUGGUCUAUCUGCAUAUGUGACUUUGUGCUUUGGUGCUAAGAAUAGAAGACAUCAAAAUAGCGCUCUCAGCAACGCUGAGUGUACAGAAAAUUGAAGCGGAAAUGGAAAGGGUGCCCUCAGAGAGGAUGUCACAUCACCAGACUUUGGUUUUGAAGCCACCAGAAAGCAGAGAGAAGCUGUUGUUUUGAAGAGAAUUUCUUCAGCUACUGAAGGUUGGCUGAGUGUGCAUUAAGGCCUGAGCAGCAAUGCCACAUGCCUGGCAGAUGAUGGGCUCUGACCCAAAGAUAUGAGGUUACAGCUCUGGGGCAGAUGAGCAGCCUGAGCUCUUUUCUCUGCCUGAUGGCCCCAGUGCCCGACUCUCUGAGGAAACGAACAGAUGGUCACUGCAAGAGUCACUGAAUCUCCACAUUCAUUCAUUUUUUGGCGACCUUGGCCAGCCUCGGAACAGUCAGUCAAAUCUGCAUAAGGAAGCUGGCGGUAAUGGGGCUCGUGGGCACAGGUACUCAUCUGACACCUAAUUAAGUCAUCUUGGUAUAUCAUCUCUACAAUGCCUGUUAUUAUUUUAAGAAACAACAUAAAGAGAAUGAUAAUUAAAAGUAACACCCCGGGUGGGAAUUUUGUCUCCAUUCCAGUGGUUGGCAAGUUAAAGCACCCUGGGUUUUUUUGUUUUGUUUUGUUUUGUUUCGGUUUUUUUUGAGGUAACAUUUCUAUAAAUUUUCAUAGAGCACACAACCUCAAAGCUUGUCUCUGCUGCAGUUUCCCCCGAUUUCUCUGCCAAUGCUUUGGGUUUGUGGCUUCGUUCCACUGCUGUUUCCUUUCUUUUUUUCUUCUCCUUUUCACUGAGCGUUUUCUGAUUUUACUUGAACUUGCAAUGGGGGAGGGGAGGGUGUAUUGCUUCUGGAUAUUACAUGUCAUCUGAAGCAUAAAAUGCUAAACCCAGUUACAUGUUGUUUUCAGGUGAGAAGGCAAUUUUACACCUCACGGUUGGGCCCACACGAGGCAUUUUCAUGCAGGGAAAUUUUUCAUCCUAGACUCACAUCAAGAUGGCGCCGAGGGAUUUGCUGCCAGUGGAAAGUUUGCCCACUGUCUGCAGCCUUUCCGCAUGGGCAUUCUUGAUAGACCUGUUCUCCAGAGUGCCGCUAUCUACCCCUGGUCUUCAGGUUCCCCUGACAUAGCGUCCAUCAGGUCCCUGUGUCCUUUGCUACCUGCCUGGGUCCUGUGUCUAUGACUUGAGCCACUUUGGUUAGUAACACUCUUACUGACCUGCCACACACCCUGUCCUCUUGUCCCUUGUACCAGACCAAACCCCACCUUUGGAUCAUCCCACAAUCCACCUUCUCUGCUGCUGACGUGAAUCUGGAGAAAACUCCCAGUAGUACCAACUGAAGCCACCACCGAUUCCUGAUCACAAUCCUCACCUGGCAUCCUUUGACAAACACUUUACUUGCCCUCAAUCGUCUCCUUUGCCCCUAAAAACCCUCUUCCUUGACCCUGUAUCUCCACCUCAUGGAAACACCCCGUCUUCUUCCUUUCACAGAUUUCUGAAAGUGUAUCCAACACCAGCGGCUCCCAUGAGCUCAGUAGGUCGCUUAUACAGAUUCCCAGGCCCCACACUAAAGCAAAUCUCUGAGGGUAGGGACUGAGAUUUGUGUUCAAGAACGUUGUCUUCAUUGGGAACUACUCAUCGGCCUAUACUCCCUGACUUUCCUUCCUCACUUUCAGUUGCUUCUCCAGCUGUCACAGCCUGGCUUCUACCCUCACCACUCUGUGAAACGAGGUCAGCAGGAACAGCCAUGACAGCCCGCACACUCCCAGGUCUCCCCAGAGAGAGUACUCUCUGGAGUACUGAUGUUCUUGGUCACUCCAAGACUUCCGGUCACCUCCUCUCUUCCUUUGCCUUCUACCUCUGACCAUCUCCCUCAGCGCCUUUUGUGUAAGCUUUUCUUGCACCUUAAAUACUGGCAGUGUUUUCACAAGUGCAUCUCGCACUCCUUGUUGCUAGAUCCUCAGAGACACUAAGAAACUUCUUGAAGCUCAAGGUGAUCUUGAGAAAGCCUCCUCCUACCAUUGCCUCUUUCACUGUCCUAACUACCUUAGAUUCUUCACUGCCUGUGAGCUUCUCAAGGGCAGAGACUUUUCAAUCAUCUUUCCAUGGUCAGUGCCUCAGGAAGCAUGUAGCAAUUAGGAGGCGCUCCAUAAAUGUUAGUACACGUCUGCUCUGAGUACUCAUGUGAAUCAGCCUUGGGCCCAUGGUGCGAAGCUCAAAGUUACCUCUCAGCCCCUUCAGAACGGGGUGACCUUGAAGGUAUGAAUUAGAGCCAGCCCCUGUCCAGACCCGGGGUGGGGAGGGGUGGGUGUUAAACAGCGGCUCUCCAAAGGUGGUAGUCAGAGCUCUAGCAAAUAACAUCUCUUCUGGCAAAUUUACUUGUUGUUAGUCUCAAAUGUUCAUAGGAAUGACAUCAUGCCUGGCCAAGUGCUAAUUUCUAAGCUUUCUUCCUGCCAAAUUUCCACCAUGCUGGCUCAUGCUUGCCAAUCUCGUAGCAGUGAUGUGUUUUCUAGCAGGGAACACAAGUAUUGCUUUGGGAGUUAUUCUGGAGCCUCAUAAAACUGUUCUUGGGGCCCCUUUAUAGGGAAGGAUUCCAUAAUGCACCCGGUUGGAGAGUGUUAUUGCUAUCAGGAGAGGUCCUUACAGUUUCUGUAGUGAACAUCCUUGAAUACUGUCUAGGACGGGCCUGUCAUUGAAGAAACAUCUCUAACUAACACCCCAUAAGUUCCAAUAUCAUGUUUCGGGUUUUUAGUGUCAUUCAAACCCUUUCCUGAAUAACACCAGUCCUAUUUCUUUGAGCACAGGACCUGUACUAUAUUCAUGGCUGUAGGUUCUCCACAUAAGCAGGGCGUAUCUGUUUUGUUCAACAUUGCUUCCCUGGGGCUGGCAUAGCACCCGGCAUAUAGCAAGUACUUGGUGUCAGUUGGUGAUGGAGAACGGAAAAAGAAGAAACUUGGGGAGCUGGAGGUGCUUGUCUCCAGAACUGUGGAGCUGAAGGUGACAACCAGGACACCAUGCUCUGGCUUCCCACUUACGGUGAGGCCCCAGGGUUCCUGCCUGCUCCUACCCUUCAUGGACUGAUGGCCAGGCCUGGAGUCUUGACGGCACCUAGGGCUGGUGGAUAUUGAAAGGCAAGUUCAAUCAUCUGGUCAGGCAGGAACUGGAAAGCUGCCCAUCCAACCCUCACCCCUGGCUGCUGUUUCUCCUCCAGACAGAAACUUGGGGAAGUUUCUUUCCUUCUGGGUGUGCCGUCUCCUUCCUCUAGCUAAUCUUCUAGCUUCCUUCCAAAACUGUAUUGGUGAUGAAUUAGCAAAAUAAAAAAAUCUAAAGCCACCCUGAAGAUUACAAAAAGAAAAACAUACUACUGCUAAAUCUCUAAAACAAUGGCUGUCUUUAUAUACAAUGAUACAUAGUAGGAUAACCAUAACCUAUCAUUACCUUAAGAGAGGAGAGAAGACCAGACCCUCUGUGGACCAAGGUGAUGUGAUCAACUCAUACAGGGUUUUACACAGAAUUUCAGGGGCCCGUGAAUCCCCUGAAGAUCUCUCAUCAUCUUCCCAGACAUACACGUAUGGACCCUGGUUAUGAAUAUCUAGGUUAGAGAUUUCACGGGGUCUUUGACUCAGUGUUAGAAACUGACAGGACCUCAGAGUUCAAGUGAUGUGACCCUCAUCUGAUGAGAGUUAGCAGAUUAGGUAUGAGGCCCAGAGAGUUUUUCUGGCUGACUUAAAGAGCGCACAGCUGGUGGACAGCAGAAGGGAGACCUUCACCUAGGUUUUCUGAAUCCUGGUCACCCUGCAAUAUUGUGUUAAUAUGCUCUGAGGAAAACAAAUGUCAAGAAGGGAGAAGAAUGGACAGAGACUGAGUAUAGGGAAAAGAAGGAAUAUCUGUUCCUAGAAUGUACAGACUGGCUAUUACUGGGUUUCAUUUUUGUGUUUGGCAGAGUUUUCCAGCUUCGAGCCAAAGAGACCAAGCCUGAAGUUCCCUUCCAGCCCCCUACUUCAGACCUGUAACUGAAUCCUGAUAGGUCAUCUCAGGCAGACCGGUGAAGGGGAAGAUAAGAAAGAAGAAAAGCAAAGAUGCUGGAGUCUUGCAGCCUAACAACACACGAGGGAUAUUGUUUGCCUGGAAGCCUCCAGGGAUGGCAAAAUGGCAGAAAUUUCCAGUGGGGAAAAUGUGGGGUGGGGGGGUGGGGGUGCUAAAUUAUUUGAAUGGGACCCUUUGAAGGCUUCUGCUACCCCUACACCUGCUGAGGCUUUCCACUGAGCUUUGGGAAAAGGCUAGCUUUUCAUAGCAGAGCAGAGAAAGGGGGAGAAUGAAGGAGGCACGUAAUGCAGGCUGUUGUCUUCUGUGUUUUACUGACUGAAAGGGCUGAAGACAUUUUAUAUGCUCCAAGUUGCCAACAGGAAGAAAGGGAGCUCGAGAUUCUCCGAGGUCUGAGGGCCCUGCCUGAGGUAG